UCGUGUAAUUCCCUGGUUCCACA
rnacentral:siRNA from 1 species